rfam:Myotis davidii contig228729, whole genome shotgun sequence.
GGAAAUUCUUGGGUGAUGCAUCCCGGAAUCAGGCUCCCUCCUCUCUGGUUCUGGGGUGUGUCACCCGAGAACCAUC